CCUACGGGAGGCAGCAGUGGGGAAUAUUGGACAAUGGGGGCAACCCUGAUCCAGCCAUGCCGCGUGUGUGAAGAAGGUCCUCGGGUGGUAAAGCACUUUCAGUGAGGAAGAACGCCUGGUGGUUAAUACCCAUCAGGAAAGACAUCACUCACAGAAGAAGCACCGGCUAACUCCGUGCCAGCAGCCGCGGUAAUACGGAGGGUGCGAGCGUUAAUCGGAAUUACUGGGCGUAAGCGCGCGUAGGUGGCUUGAUAAGCCGGUUGUGAAAGCCCCGGGCUCAACCUGGGAACGGCAUCCGGAACUGUCAAGCUAGAGUGCAGGAGAGGAAGGUAGAAUUCCCGGUGUAGCGGUGAAAUGCGUAGAGAUCGGGAGGAAUACCAGUGGCGAAGGCGGCCUUCUGGACUGACACUGCCACUGAGGUGCGAAAGCGUGGGUAGCAAACAGGAUUAGAUACCCUGGUAGUC
rnacentral:rRNA from 1 species